rnacentral:rRNA from 1 species
GACGAACGCUGGCGGCGUGCUUAACACAUGCCAGUCGAACGGUGAAGCGCCUUCCUUUUUGGUGGGUGUGGAUGAGUGGCGAACGGGUGAGUAACACGUGAGUAACCUGCCCCCUUCUUCUGGAUAACCGCAUGAAAGUGUGGCUAAUACGGGAUAUUCUGGGUCUGUCGCAUGAUGGGUCUGGGAAAGAUAUUGUUUCGGUGGGGGAUGGGCUCGCGGCCUAUCAGCUUGUUGGUGGGGUGAUGGCCUACCAAGGCGGUGACGGGUAGCCGGCCUGAGAGGGUGGCCGGUCACACUGGGACUGAGACACGGCCCAGACUCCUACGGGAGGCAGCAGUGGGGAAUAUUGCACAAUGGGCGAAAGCCUGAUGCAGCGACGCCGCGUGAGGGAUGGAGGCCUUCGGGUUGUGAACCUCUUUCGCCAGUGAAGCAGGCCUGCCUCGUUUGUGGGUGGGUUGACGGUAGCUGGAUAAGAAGCGCCGGCUAACUACGUG